GAAUGAUGAAUAACAUGUAUACUCUUUAAUGUUUUACUUUUCCCUACUCUUCUGAUGUGUGGAAAGGACCAGGUCUGCAUGCUAGCUUAGCAGAAGAGGGAGACAACUCUCCAUGAUGCCAACAGGACAGUAAGGAAGUUCAUACCAAUUUACUGAUCUAUUUGUCCCUCAGUUUCCUUUCUGCAGGAAGGACCUGCCACAAAAAUAUCAUAAAACAAGCCUCUCGGGAGUACAAGGUAAGCUAAGCUCAGAACUCAGCGCUGUACUGAACAGUAGUAACUCUGUGUCAGAAUUCUAAAACCAGUUGAGAUGCUCUGGGAAGCCAUGUGGAGCAUGUGAGAGGAGUUGCCUUGCUUUUCCUAAGGGAGCUGAGUUGCCACUCAGUCUCCCUAUAAAUGUUCACUCAGAUAGUAACGGAAAGCUUCAUGGCUUUUCAGCUGCUGCCAAGCUUUAUCUUGAGUUUCCUCCCUAUGAGGUGCUCCCUAUAAGGUGCUCCCUAUGAGGUGCUCUAUUCUCAGCAUCAGGAACCUGGGCUCUGCCUGAACAAAACCAAUGCUUUCAAUUUUCAUAGCAUCCUCAGUGAGACAUUCUGCCUGCUCACUUGAGGCUGUUUUGUUUCUCUUAAACAAGCCUCAAGCUAGAUUACCUAUUUUCCUUUGGGAAUAGUUACUCAACAUUUACUGAAACCACUGUAUUAUUUUUUGUGUGUUAAAGAAAAGCAAUAUAAUAAUCACUAUUUGCUCUGGGUUAGUUGGCAUCAUGGCUAAAUGAAGCAACUUGAUACAUGCUAGAGGAUUUAAGCAAGAUUUUUGGUGUGUGUGUGUGUGUGUGUGUGUGUGUGUGUGUGUGUGUUUAGUUUCUCUAAGAAUACUUGGUAAUUGUCAAAAAUGCUUUGCAAAUAGCUAUUGUUACAUCUGUGGCUAUCACUAUGACUAUUCAUAACUCCUUCCAUACGUGGAGGAAGCUUCAAUUAGUGAAAUGUGAAGUCAGUGUAAACUCGUACUGGUCACUUUUAACUAAAUAACCUUGAAGGAAAGUAAAUACUCUUUCUGCAUUCAAGGAGGUGGGAGAUACUCCUUAAAAUGAGAGAUAUUAUGACAGACUCCAUAGUUUACAAGAGGCGUUUCAGAAUCUAAAGGAGAAGAUGAUUAAAGGUUAGAAUGCCUGAUCUUGUUACAGGAUAGCAUCAGUAAUAAACCUGUUUAGGAAAGGCUAACUUUUUAAUAUAUAUGUAUACAUUUGAGAGUAAGGGAAGACUAUAUAUGCUGUUAUAAAAUUCUCAUUGUCACAACUGUGGCUGCCUCUUUUUCCUUGAAUUGCUGUCUGGAAACAAGCAGAGUUGAGAUUAAAGCUUUGGCUUGGAGGGACGCUGGUAAUGUUUCUCUUCUUUAGAUGGGAUUCUUUAUUUUCUGGAAAAUGCUUUGUUUUGUAAUCAUUUGAUUACAUAAUGGUUUCUCAAUAUAUCACGAGAAGGUUGACCCAUCAAGAAUUAAUCUUCCUUCCACUUGCAAGUUUUGAUGCAAACAUUUUAAAUGGUAUUAAGCAUGGCUGUAAACAGUUCAAGUUAAACAGACCUGUCUCCUGUCACUGUGGCAUCUGUGCCUAGUGUCUACCUUGGAAGAGACAGCUGUGUUAUGGCUAAAGGUGGCCUUGGCUUGAGAUUCAGACAGGAUGAGCAUCUGGGCUGGCUUGUAUCAUGACCCACUUUCAGAAUAGCAGAUUCAUUUCUGAGGGAACCACAUUCUUCCACCUCUUAAGCAUCUUUUAUUAGUUCUCUUCUCUUGAAAAUGUGGCAUUAAAGAUUAAGUUUCCCAUGCGUGCAUUUUGUGAGGACACAUUCACACCACUGAACUUGACCUCUCCAAAUGGUGUUCCCAUUGUUUGUGCCACUGUCAGUGCUGUUGAAGACCAACAAUCAAAUGCUCUGCCUUAUUGACUCUUUUCUCCUACAGACCCCAAUCAGAGUCUCAAAAAUCCUAAGAUGGUAUGCACAUUGGAGUGGGAUAGAAUUUUACCAUGGGUUGUUAUGCUUCUGAAAAUCAAAUAGUCUGAAUGAUAAACAUUUGAGACUCUGUGGGCCACUAUCUGCAACAUACAUACAUACAUACACACACACACACACACAUACAUAUAUGUGUGUGUAUAAAUGCAUAUAUAUGUAUACACACACAAUGUGUACACAAAUGCCAAAGUGAGGGAAAUUUAAUAGGAUACAAUCUUGGACCCUUACCAACACAGAAGGAAGAAGGAUUUAUUGUGGCUCAUAGUUUGAGGGUAUAAUCCAUCCAGUCAGGGAAGGAAGACAUGGUGGCAGGAGGGGAUGGAGGCAUCUGGUCUCUUUGCAUAUACAGUCAGGAAGCAGACAGAGAAAUGAAUGAUGGUACUCAGAUCUCUUUCUUCUGUUUUUUUUUUCUUUAUCCCCUCCCCGCUCCCACUGCUCUCCAACCUACCAUUCCUGGCCCUGGCAUUCCCCUAUACUGGUGCAUAGAGCCUUCACAGGACCAAGGGCCUCUCCUCCCAUUGAUGACUGACUAGGUCAUCCUCUGCUACAUAUGCAGCUAGAGCCACAAGUCCUACCAUGUGUUUUCUUUGAUUGGUGGUUUAGUCCCAAGGAGCUCUGGGUACUGGUUAUUUCAUAUUGAUGUUCCUCCUAUGGGGCUGCAAACCCCUUCAGCUCCCUGGGUACUUUCUCUAGCUCCUUCAUUGGGGACCCUGUGCUCUGUCCAAUGCAUGACUGUGAGCAUCCACAUCUGUAUUUGCCAGGCACUGGCAGAGUCUCUCAGGAGACAUCCAUAUCAGGCUCCUGAUAUAGCUGUCUCUUCUUCUUCUUUUAGUUCAACCUUGAGCCACAUCCUGAGAUGAUUCUGCACACAUUUAAGGUGGCUCAUCCCAGCCCUGUUCACACAAUUUAAAAACUCUCUUACAGACAGUAUCAACUCAUCAAUAAGCACUAUCUCUCACAAAUCCACUCAUUGUUCAUGUUACAACCAGGGGUAUGAUUUCUAAGCCUCAACUUUCCAGUUCUUAUCCCCAUGGGAUAAUAUCUAUCUCAUAAUGCAAAAUGUAUUCCACCUAACUUUUAAAGUCUCCGUAGACUUUAACCAUUUCAACAAACUGUUCAAAAGUCUAAGUGCAGAUUUUCUUCUUAGGCUUAGACAAUCCCUGAAAUUUGAGCUCCUGGAUGAAGAAGAAGAAGAAGAAGAAGAAGAAGAAGAAGAAGAAGAAGAAGAAGAAGAAGAAGAAGAAGAAGAAGAAGAAGAUGAUGAAUAUUGCAUACUCCCAACAUAUAAUGACACUUAGUGAACAUUCUCAUACUAAAAGGCAUGGAGGGAAAUGAUCACACCAAAGCAAGACCAAAACCCAGCAGAGACAAUAGCAAACCUUGAAGCUACCUGAUGGAAUCAUCUGCUCUCCAAAGGGAGGGGCCCGUGCAUUAUUCUAUCCCUGGUGCUUGGAGCACACAUAGUCUCUCUCUUGACCCAGCUCUGCUUCACCUCUGCAUCUUUCCUCGCAGGCAUCUCAUGUCCCUAUCAUGUCCACCAUCCCAGGUCUCCAAGGGAAUUUAGGCUUCACUUCCAACACUUCACACAUGAUCUCUCCAGGCCUCAUCGCAGGAACUCUGACCCUGCCACAUAUUGUUUGUCCUCAUUGCCUCUCUAGAAUGAUGAUAAAAGAUUUCAUGGCUCUCUUAAUCUUGGACUUUUCACUCUUGGAAAACAAGUACCAUAGGCACUAUACUAAAGUUCUGCUGCCAGCCCCAAAUUGAGUUUGGCCUCCUUGGGUCACAGGUACUUUGCCCAGUGUCUACUGACCUCAAGGAAAUGUUUUCCUGGACAGUUUCCUUUUUAAUCAGGAAAUGCCUUUAGUACAUUUCCUGUUCAGGCUUUUUCCUUUCAAGUGGAUUUACAAAUUGAUAAGCUUUUAACUAUGUGGGAUAAGCCUUCCCUUGGGGAACCCUUCCCAAUGCUUUAUCUGUGUGUUCCUUUUCCAGUUGUGAACUUGCUCGCAUGCCUUUCUCUGCCAAGCUUCAGAGUUUUUCAUAUCCUUCUCUGCUGCUCAUUGUACAUCUGAAUAGGAUAAGAAGUCACCCCACAGCAUGAAUGCCAACUUGUCUCGAAACUACUCCAUCAAAUGAGUUAAUCCAUCAUUUUUAUUCGGCCUUCUUUAAGUUCCUAGGAGCUGAGUAGCACGGAGUCGAUUCUUAAUCAGAAUAUAACAUGAAUGACCUUUAGCUAAGUCUCCAAUAGAUGCCUUGUUUCCCUCUAAAACCUCAUGGGCUAAACCUCCACUAUCUACAUAUCCCACUGCAUGGUGGUUUUCCUCCUGCUCACUUUGGCCCCCUACGUUAUGCUUAUAACAUGGAAUUCUAAGUCUACUUUUCCCUCACAGCAUUGGCACAUUUUUUUGGUGCUCUGUGUAUAUUACCUCACUUUGUAAGUUCAUAUAUAAAUUAGCCCUAUCAUGUCUGGAAAACACACUAUUUCUUUGGUGUCAUAUAUUCCCUCUGGCUCUUACAAUAUUUCUACCUCCUCUUCCUCACAGUUCCCUGAGUUCUGAGCAGAGGGAUUUGAUGACAACUUCCUAUUUAGAACUGAGUGUUCCAAGGUCUCUCACUUUCUGCACAUUGUUCAGUUGUAGGUCUUUUUAUUAGUUCUUAUCCACUCUAGAAGGAAGUGUCUCUUAUGAUGGCUGAGCAAGACACUGACCCAGGGAUACAGAAGAAUAUAAUUAGAGUAAUUUAUUCUAUUGCUUUAUUUCUUUAGUAGAACAAUAACAUUUUGUUUUACCCUAGGCCCAUAGCCUAUCUAAUGUCGGGUUCCUGAUCACCUGAGCAGUGUCAGUUGUGGGUUUUCAUCUCAUGGAAUGGGCCAUAAACACAAUCAGACAGCCCUACUUAUUACCACAAUGUUUAUGCCACGAUUGCACCUACAUCUUGCAAGAGGGGGCAGAAGUAUCAUCAGAUAGAUCCCCAUUAUAGAUUGAAGGGCUUGUAGCUGAGUUGGUGUUACCUUCUUCCUAUGCUAUGUACAGUACCACAAACAGCAGUCAGUAGCAGUGGAGCAUCUAUUUAGGCACCAGCUCAACUUCUUUGUGUUCAAUGAGAUAUGUAAGUAUUGUCUUCAGCAGUAGAGCCUUGCCAUUACUCUGCUUAGAGCAACUCACAGCUUUGGCUAUGUCAAGUUGUUCAGAGAUUUCCCUAUGGUUCCUUUGGCCAACAACUGGAUUAGAUGCAAUCAGAUACUGGAACUCGGAGUUUCACUUGAUGGCUAAAUUUGUGUUGUGUGGCCAUGUAUCCUCUAUUAUUUGAUGAGUUCCCUCAGGUUUCUUUCAUAAACUAGAAGCUUCAUGUCAGUAGGUUUCCAAUGACUCCUCAAGUGACCCUUGAUGUUACUUGUUCCUCCCCGUACUUCCUCUUUUACUACUGUCUUCCCUCAUCCUCUCCUUUUGGUCCUCCAUUCAAAUCUCUCACUACCUCUCCACAAUUAUAUAUUCUGUUUCCCCUUCCUUGAGAUACCCUCCCCCAGUCCCUUACUCUAUACCUAACUUUUGUGGUUACAGGGAUUGCAGCGUUCCCAUCAAAGGCUUAAAAGUUAGGAUAAUAGCUACUUCAUGAACUUCAACUAUGAAGCGCUCAUGAGGCAGACAGGAUGUCUUAUAAGGUAGGUACGUACUAACGUUUCUGCUUCUCUCAAGGUGCAUGAAGUUAGAGUAAGCCUGUAAGUACAAGGAUUGCUGCAAAUUGAUAGCAACUGGUUCAGUGCCAUUAGAUACUUCUUGCCAAGUCAUUGAUUUGGUAGUGAGAAGAGCUGACAUUCCUACCCACUAAGAUUCUGAGACCCUUAAUUACUGCUGUCAGAUCCUUACAAGGUAUAUUGGCUUCUCAGAAACAAGAGCUUAUUUCCUUGAACAAGAAAUUAGCAGAUUUCUCUGAAAUACCAAGAAAGCACCUAGAAUAGGUUCCUCUGUCCUGAACUCCCCCAGGUCUCUGAAGCCCAGUAAAUAUGACGUUCUCAACACAGCGCUGCUCAUAGGAGAUAUAUCACAUGUCCACAGGGAAUUGUCAUCUUUACAAAGUUUUCCUAAUUUCAUGUCCUUGGAAGUAGGCAGUUUGGGCUCCUAUGUAUUGGUUGCUUGGUGACUUGCUGUAUCCAUCAGCUAGAAUUACCGAUGCACAGCAGAAUAUAAGAUGAAUGUUUAAAAAAUGUUUCUCAAUGGAAAGUCAUACAGGACCCAUCUUCUCCACAUCUUUGGGCCCCUGAGACACACUACCAUAAUAGCUUAUGGCACCAUCAACCAAGCGAACAGAGAAAGUCAUCAACUUUAAAUUAUGAAAUCAGUCAUGUGCUCUGUAUAAGCCCUACUUUUCUUCUUCCCUGCAAAUGUAGAGUCCCUUACACUAAAUGCAAAUAUAGCAUGCAUUCCCAAAUUGUUGAAAGAAAUUGAGAGAGAAAAAAACCAACCUCAAACUGCAAACUGUAGUCUACAGCUGAGUGACCACUAAUCAAUUUUGAAUUCUGAUUAACAGAAAUUUUAUGAGGCUAACAGUAACCCCUUCCACUACCUUAUAAUUCCUUGUUUUCUGGUAGAAACUUGGGAGAAUUUACAGAAUCCCAUAACUCAUCCUAUACCUUAGUUUCAGAUUUACACAAUGUUUUUCAAGGAAUCACUUGGAGACUAUGUAGAUUUGAAAACUUAGUUAAGCCUUGCCCGUGGCUGUUUUAUCUCAGAAUAAGUUUGUGCUGAUCUUCCCAACUCCAAUUAUUCUAAUUAAAUUUCUACUGUGACAGCUGGUGUUCUUCCAUUUUGCUCCACUGGAAAAGUUUGGAAUACUGGAACAAAUUUUUUCACUGCUCUGUAAUGAAGAGAUUGGCCAUGGCCGGCAAUAGGCAGAAGGACCCCCAUACACCCUGUGUGAGGCUGUGCUUCGACUGUAAUAACAUAUAGCAAAUUACCACAAAGCUACAGGUUUGAAACAAUUUUAACUAAUAUCUUGCAAUUUCACAGGACCUACACUGGAUCUUCUUCUUUGAGAUCUAAAAUGCCUAAAUUUGUGCAACUUAACUUGUAUUUAGAUUCUAAGACUAAAUCCAUUUUUUUACCUCACUCAAAAUCUUGCCAGAAUUCAGCUCAUUUUAAUUUUAAGAUGGAGACCUCUAUCCCUGAAGCUUUGCCCCUUUGGGCAAGCUUUGAUUAAAGCUACAUUUCAUUCCAGCUUUUCAUUCAGCUCCUUAUCAUAAUGGGGCAUGUGUAUGCGUGUGAAUUCUAUUAAUGUUUUACAUGGGUAUCCUCUGGCAUUUUCUCUUUAUACAAUAUUGGAGUAAACAUUCUGUGUCUAUCAUGCAUGAGAUUAGAUAAUGCCGCUUAGAAAUCACUGUAUAAUCUACUUACUGUGAGUUUCAUGAUAUUCAUUAUAUUACUAAUAAGUCCAAAUUCAGAGGACUGGAAUUAAGAGAUAAGCAAAAGAAUGGAUUCACUCAUGAAGUAAAUAACAAGUUACACAGAUUGAACACUGUGCUAAAAUGAAGCCAUCAAAGAUAAGUAAGACACAUUACUAGUAAGGAAAACCUUUUAUAAGUGUUUAAAGUAAUCUAUAAACUAAGAUCACCUCUCCUCCUCUCCUGUCCUCUCCUCCUCCUCUUCCUUCUCUUGUUCCCAGUUGGUAUGAGCUGCUUUUACAUAAUCUUAUUUUCUUCUAGCUUGUCAAUCAACCAUUGAAUUAUUAUAAAAUUUAACUUCUCUUGCAUCCUACUUUCUCAUUACUUUUAAUAUUUUUUCCAAAUCCUUUUGUAUGUCUGACUUGAAGAUAGACAGCCAGCUGAGUGUUUCCAGCAACGUGUAUGAGGAAUAUAUUCUCUCAUAAUGUUCACCUGCGUGGAGGAGGAAGUAUUUGACUUCAAGAAGAAUGACAUUUAUGAAGCACUUCAGGCAAGUUGAGGGACUUCUUAGUUGAGAGGGAUUAUCUACAUUUAGAUCCAUUCAAAAUUAUAUUAUUUAUUUUCCUCAACAAUAAAAAUGCACAUUGAUUUUCUAAUGUCAAAGUACCAAGUCUCACCAACAAAAUGUGUUACAUAUGAUUCCAAAUAAAACAUUAUAAUAGAAGGGAUCUGACAACAUUUGUUGCUACACUCAUAGAAACCAUCUAACUAUGCAUUUUGCCAUCAGGAUGGCGACAUUUCCAUAAAUGCUGUGGUCCUCAGUAGCAGCUGUCUUUUCUAGACAUGGUCAUUAUUGACAGAAGAGCCCUCUGCACAGUAAUGCUCUUCGUGUUCAUUGAGGCCACUGGUCUGCUCUCCUGAAUUCUUUUCUUUUGCUUCCUAUUAUUCUCCUGGACCAAGACACAUUUUAUUUUUGUUAUGUUGUCCAAUAAAGUAAAAAACAAAACAAAACAAAAAAACCUAGGUGUGCUGAAUUUGAAUUCUUUGGAAACAAUUCACUAGGGUGCCCAAAUGGACAGACUAACAAUAUCAAAACAUGCCUCAAGGAUACAUCAAACCUGCCUAAGACCUACCAUUAGGGCUUCUGAGGUGUGUUAAAGUUCUUCCUUCUAAAAUUAUAGAACCAACAUAGACAGUGCACAUAGAGCCCUGUUUAUGCUGUCUGGAAAAAGGGUUACUGAUCUAGAAAUGUCUGGGUGUGUCUUUUCAGCUGUCACAUGGCAGAAUAUAGCAUGCAACUCUUGGCCUAAAAAUAUAGAAAUGAUGUGACAUAUUCUGGGAAAGAAAGAUGCUGUCUUCUGGCUAUGAGGCAUCCCAGAACAGUAUAAUAAUGGAAAUUAUCCCUGAAGAGCAUGGCACAUGACACAUGCAAUAAGGACACAGGCUGACCUAGAACACACUGUAUAACCCAUGCUGGGCCCAAACUCAUGAUAAUCUUUCUGUCUCAGCCUCCCAGGUGCUGAGAUUAUUGGUAGGUAAAACCUUGUUCACCUUACAUCCUACUUCUUAAGGUCAGAAAAUUGAAUUUCUUCACUCCCCCACCGCCAGAUCUAAAACAUCCAAGGCUUUGCAUGUGUGUUAAUGUGUAGGGUAUUGAUUAAAAGAUAUUGAAAUCCGUUGUGGAUUGUGAUUUUGCAUUGAUGCUCAUCUCUCUUGACUCCUCAGGACAGUUUGCUUGUUAAUGAGAAGCUGGAGUCAGAUGAGUCAAGUCAGAUAAUCCCAAAUCCCAACAGUAAUCAGGUGCCCAUCUCUUCCUUAGGAGCAGCUUGCCAGUCCAGAGCAGACAUCACCCCUUUCUGUCUUUGGUCAGUGGUUCUCAACCUUCCUAAUGCUGUGACCCUUUAAUACAGUUCCUCGUGUUGUAGUGACUCCCAAUCAUAAAAUUAUUUCAUUGCUACUUCAUAACUAAUUUUGCUGCUGAUAUGAACUGCAAUGGUCAUAUCUGAUAUGCCAAAUAUCUGACAUAUGACUCAUAGGUGGUAUCAUCCCAUAGGAUGUGAACUACUGCAUUAGAAAUAACCACUGCUCCAGAAAUAUUCUUAAAAUGUGUUUCCAUUCACUAAAUCCAUAGUUUAUUUAGCACUGAAUUCAAAGCAGCGAUAUAAGUUAUAAUAACAAGCUUCAGCGCAUGCUAUCCACUCCUGGAAAGGGUAAACCAGUCUUACCUUUAUUAUUAGAAGGAAAUAUAGUUAUUAUGUUAAAGAUACCGCAUGCAUUUGCAUAGAGCAAGUAAGAAACUGUGAAGGAAAGGAGAAACUGUUUCUUGGUUGUAUCAAGUGUAUGUUCUGAAAAAUAAUCACAAGAAAACUGAACUUAUGGUUAAUAGCAAGAAACACCUCUCAACUGUCUCAGGGACUGCCUAACUGCAGAAGGAAGAGGGGACAGAAGGAAACGCUUUGACAUAGAUUGAUCUAUACUUAGGAUGUCUAAUGGUUCUGAGCCUCCCAAGGCUGGGAGGGUGUAGUAUGAGCUGAGCUAGGCCUUGUUAUCCUCGUGACUGAGGGACCUGUUUACAUAGACCUGCCAUUUCUGAUUGCAACAUAAUCUAGGGAUCAGGUAUCACAGAGCACAUCUAUGAUCCUGCACAUGCAAAUUAGAAGGAGGAGCCUAUCUUCGCAGAUAAAGCGCAGUGCAGUACUGGGGUACAUCAUUUGUCCAGUGCAGCACAGCUGUGCUGUAGUCCCCACAAAUCUUUCUGGAAGCCACACUUGCAGCAGGACUCAACUCUGAUACUUGAGAGGACUGGCCUCAAUCAUGGGGCUGAAGUUCUCUGAGAGGCCAAUGCAAUGUAGAAUGCUGAGGAUACUCCCUGCUACUGUCAUUCUUUUACUUUUGCUCUUCUCUUGAGUACAGAAAAUUUGGAGACAUACUUCAUUAGGACUUCUCUGAGUCUUGGAAAAUGUAAGGGGCACUGUGAACAUAUGACUACAGAGAAUAUUUUUACGUUUUUAUCAAACGCCCCAAGGAAAUUUAACCUCGAGAGCUUAAAGUUAUGGCUUAAGUAUCUGUUGUCAUUGGAGGGUUAAAUCAAUAAACAUAAGGGAGAAGGAAAGAGAGUCUGAAAGCAUUCUUUCUUUCCCUUUAGUUUACAUGGUCCAGUCAGCAUAACUGUGAACCACUUUGCAAACAGCUGCCCAUUGAAAGAAACUUGCUGUUUCCUUGCGUCACGAAGUGUGGUCCACCACACUGCUACACUCUAAUAAACAAGUUAUUACACCAAUAGAUCUGAAAGUCUUCCAAACAUAUUUUAAAAUGCUCCUUUAAUAAAUGGCCCUUGAAAGGUUUGCUAACAACCAUGUUCCCUGGUCAAGCAAAAGGAAGUCCCAGGUGGCGAUUGGGACUCCUGUUCCGAGUCAGGUUUAAUUCUUGUACCCAGUGUUAAGUAACUGGGGUUGCAAGACCUAGAGAACAUAGUGAGUUUUUCUAUGCAGAAUGGAAUUAAAAAAUGUUUCUGUCUGUCAGGCUUUAAAUAAAUGCAAUAAUAGAUGGUAAGUCUUCCCUACUAUUAUUAAAUGAUAGUACAGAGUCUUUACAUAUUAAUUCUUCCAUGUUUUUAUUUUCCUUAUUGAAAAAAUUGGGCUAUCAGAACCAGAUAGUGUGAGGAUGUAACAUGAGUGGAGAUGUUUUCUUUCCUUCUGUUCUUUUUCCAAGGAAGGUUUUUUUUUUUGUUUGUUUUGUUUUGUUUUUUAAUGCCCAUAUUUUUAAGACUCAAGAUACAUUCUUCCUUACUACACCUUUUUGAUCCAUCAAGGCAAAUUUAGGUAAUUUAUAAGAAAUGGGAGGGAUUGAACAGAGCAGACUGACAUGGUGGCUUAUCAGUAUAUUGAUGAGUCAACAGAACUGCAUCCUGGGUAGGGCACUCAGAAGCAAUUCCACUUCCUGUGAAUCUGUGUUUGGGCUAAUCUGGAACCCUCUCAGUGCUGUGAACUCCUUUAAUUUAGACAGGCGAAGUCAAUACAUUGAGAACUAAAUGCUCAAGGAGCACCAGGGCCAGCUUAGACCUUAGACUCCCUUCUGUCCUCUGAUGAUUCCCUUGGUACAUCACUCACUUUCAGUAUGCAAUGGGACUCUCCAAUCUGUUUUUAUAGCUUUUCUCUCACUUGCGGUUAGAAGAAUAUGCUUGGCUCUUGUACAUAUUUAUUUGAGUAUAUUUUUGGUUAUAAUUCAGCUAAACUGGAAGGGGCAGGUCAGAAUUUAAAAUAACAAACAGCCAAAGAAGACCAGAAGGUUAACAACAGUAUUCUUAAUCUGGGCUGAACAUCACAACUAAUGGGUACAUUUACGCUACUAUUCAAAUAAACACUCAUGGACUGGAUCCAUGGCAGGUCUGUGAAGUAAGUCAGGGGUGAGGGACAAGACACUUCUGAACAAAAGAGAAAAAUAAAAUAUUGUUGUACUAGAGUAAUAUGUCAAAAAUAAACUUUUCUACAUUUUGAAGAAAAACCAAUAAACUUGAACGCCCACAGUCAGAAGCAGCAAGUCUUUAAGAAAACAAGGAUGUGGUCACCUCUACUCUGCAAGGAAAGGACUCAAGACUGGAGUGUGGGAGUGGAUGGGGCAGUGUUGAAGAGAACAAGAGGAUAAGUCAAGCAAAGGGCUAUCCUGUGCCACUUCUGUGCCGUUACCAUCACGUGCUUUAGGGAAUUUUUUUUUUCCUGAGAUUUUGGGAUAACCUUUCUUCAUAUUGUGUGAGGCUGUGUCUCUGUAUUUUCAGUUAAUAUUGCACUGGCAGAGAGCAAAAUGGAGGCAAGACUUUGGUAUUGCCAUUUCUAUGGCCCAUCACUGGGUUUUUGUAAAUAUUCAUACUUCCUUACCUGCCUAAAGGCAAUCUAGACAUCUAUCAGAGGUUGUGUUGCAGCUGAAUGGUUGUAGUAAAGAUCUGAGGGCUGGCCAGUAGCUCUACAGCAAGUUCUGCCUGAGAACUUCCAGGCAGAGGAGGAUGAUAGCUAAUGAUAAACACUUGCAAAUGAAAAAACAAAUAGCUUUCUACUAGCAAGUCUCACUGGGGAAACAAACUACUCUUAAGGGUAGAGCUCAAGAGCUGAUGUUCAGCAGAGAGAAAAAAAAAAGCCGAAGCACUAAGGAACAGGACCAGAGUGGAGCAAGCAAAUGCAUGGAGCUAGCCAUGUGGAAGGUUGUAGGCUAGAAUAAUCGGGUUAAGUUUAAACACUAGCUGGGAGAUUGCCCCAGCAAGAGGCCUAAGCUUUAAACUUUAUUAGUAGCCUCUGUGUUAUAUUUAAUACUUCUGGUGAGUCUGAGGAAGUCCUUCAAUCCUGACUGUAUGUAUGAAUUGAAUGGGUAAUACACUAGCAUACCUCAGUGCUCAAAGACAAUGGUGUAAGAAUAGACACCCACCUCAGAACUGAGCAGUAGUAUUUCAUGUCUGGUGACAAUGGCUUCCUCAGACUUGUGUGGUCCAAUAUGGUGGGAUUAAGCUUCUCGGGUAGUUGGGACACAUAUGGCAUAGUGCCAAAGGACAGCAAGAGUUGGUUUUUGGAUUUGUUGCAGGCAGAGCUGGAAAACAGAUAUUCAUUUCUUCAUAGCUGUCAAGGAUGGAAAGGAGAAACUGACAAUUUUGCUUCUUGGGAAGUAGAUGCUUAGAUUUACUGUAAGCUGUGAGGGUUUGGAAAAGCUUCCAGGGAGAUACAGUUAUCAAAGAAAAGGGAAAGGGGGCAGGACCCAGCACUGGGCAACUUGUGGGUACAGCUGCUCUUCACAUUUCAGUCCUUCAAGCUUUUUAAGUUGUGCUGAGUUUCUGUGGUGAAUUCUGAGACGUACGUACCUCAGUGGUCAUGGGGAAGUUGAGCUGGUGCCUUCCUAGAGCCAUCAGGCUUAUAGACUAGUGUUCAUGGUGCUGUAAGGGUCUCUGCAUGCUACCAAAGAAGAAAGACAAACACCAACAUGGCUACAAAGCCCUCCAUCUAUAAUGCUGAGCGCCUGCAAGAUAUGCUACUGCAAUAGUGACACAAAGCUGGUAGGAGUAACCAAUCUUUGAUUGGAUUUGAAGCCCAGUUCCUGAGCUGGAAACCAUACCUGACACUGCUUGGGGUGGCCAAGAACCUGAGACUACAUAUAUGGCAGGCAUCAAGGACAAAAUUGAAUGCUACUGAUCUGCAGAAAUAAAAUGGCUCCUAAUGACAUUCUUCUACACUCACAGAUCAGUGCUUUGCUCAGCCAUCAUCAGAGAAGCUUCCUUCUGAAGCAGAUGGGAACAGAUGCAGAGACCCAUAGAUAGACAAUAUGUAAAGAGUGAGAAACCUUGAAACACAGCUCUAAGUAGAAAGUCUCUAUCAAAUCCCUGUCCUCAUGGCCUGGGGAACCCAUAAAAGAAGUUGGAAAGACUUUAAGAGCCUGAGAGAGUAGAGGACAUUAUGGAAACAAAGCUUUCUAAACACAUUAGUUCCAAUGCACAGAAUAACUCAUAGAGACCUUGGCAGCAGGUACAGGGCCAGAACGGGUCUAUACCAGUUACAGUCCAAGAGCUGAGGCAAAAAGAGGACACACAUUCCCCUGCCUGACACGGAAGCAAUGUUAGCUAAUGAUAAACACUCGCAAAUGAAAAAACAAAUAGCUUUCUACUAGCAAGUCUCACUGGGGAAACAAACUACUCUUAAAGGUAGAGCUCAAGAGCUGAUGUUCAACAGUAGAUGGCCAGCACAAAAUCAAUUCACUAGCAUCUUUUGAGGUUCUUUGUCUCAUAAUGUUCUAUAAGGACAUUUUCUUUUUAACCAUAGAGGGCCUUCAUGUAUAUAUAUUAUGGUUUCCAGUUUUAUAUUUCUAUGGGAUUCCUGAGGGUGUGCAUAUGUAUUUCUCAUGCAUUUUAUUUUUGUCUAUAUUUCUUCUGUGUGUUUGUUUUGUCCAAUUCCAAUGUAUUUAAUUUUCUUUAAUCUUAUUUUAUUACUCUUCCUCAAAUAAUUCCUUAGACAUGCACAAGAGAAUUAUUUUCUAAUGAGAGACCUAAAAGAGGUAGGUCUGGGUGGAAGUGGAGAUGAUGAAGAACUGGGAGGAGUUGGGGGAGGAAAAACUGUUCAGAAUAUAUUGUAUGUAGAAAACUAUUUUUAAUAAGAUAAAACACAUAUCUCUCUAGAUGCCCCCAAAAUGCUGUCUUUGAAAAUCAUCAGAAGUAAAAAAGAAAUACUCACCUCAAGUUUAUGAUGACUCUUCAUGGCCAUCAUAGCUAGUCAACUAUAAAUGUCACAGUAAAGGCUUGGUCUUUUAGCCAAGCAUAGACAAGAAUUCCCCAUUGACCUACUUUCUAUAUGGAUUCUCAUACAGAAAAAAAAAAAGAAGUAAACUAUAAAACAUAAAAAGGUUAAGAAAACUGUUGGUUACUAGAGGUGGUAAGAGGGGGAUGGAAUGACCUACAUAGGUCAAAUGAUACUGAGACACAGAUGUGGAAAAUGAGUCAAUCUAAAUAAAGGUAUAUAACAGGAUGAGUAUAAUUAAUAAUAUAUUGUACUCAGGAUUGCUGGCUCAAUGAUCAUUCCUUGACACACACACAAAAGUAGAUGUGAGAUGAUAAAUAUGAUAAUUUGUUUGAUGAAGGCAACAUUUAACUGUGUCUGCACUUGUCAGAAUACAAUGUUACAUGCUUUAAAACCUUACAGUAUCAUUUACCUUUUAAGUCACAAUGUCUCUCUCACCACCAUGUGAGUAGAUGAUAUGAAACUAGCCAAUGAGAGAGAUUGUACCAGGAAACAAAUCCUGCCACAACUUUGAUUUUUAAUUUCUUGUUCUUUAGAAUUAUGAAAAAAAAUGUGUUUAAACCAAAAACAAAAUUUUGGUAUACCUAUUAAGUUUUGACCAGCCUUUCUUCCAAGAUGAUCUUCCUGACUGCAAAAGGAACACACAGAAAUAUUGCUCCUUUAGCUCUGAGUCUGAUGAGCAAGGAGAGUUUAAUUGUAGUGGAUACAGUUUUAAAAAUCUUUUAAUGAAAUAGUUAUAGUGCUUUGGAAAUUUUUGAUAGAUGAACGAUAGGGCUUAAUGGGUGUAGCAGGUGCUUAAGUAUAGCUUGGAAGAAUUGAAUGAAGAAAGAGCUUUAUGGUUGAUCAAUACUCAAAACUCAAAUUCCGAGUACAUACCCCAACCACACAAAGAGAUGGAGAGAAGUCAAGCCCAUUUAAGAAGACUUCAAUGAGACUAAAACCCUGAAGAUGAAGUGCUUCCUACAUGCUAUCGGAGAGAAGAUCAGAGAGUAACUCAUGAUUUGAAUACAUAUAGGAUAAUUAUGCUAUAUGUUGAACAACAUAUGAGAUCACAUCCUGCACUGUUUUUUUUCAGUUCUAUUUAUCACUUUAACAGAGAUACCUCCCUCAUUUGUAGAUUAAAAUAUAAUAUGUAUGGAGAAAUAAAAAUGAAACUUGUGCUGCUUUA